UUCAGAGCAGCGCGAGUGUGAAGAAAGGGUUUUUUCCCUUCCUCAGUCCCAUGCCGCACCUCUCACCGCCGCUGCCAUCCAUUAUCAGCAAGAGGAACAGAGAGAAAAAGAGUCCCUUAGGCAGGAAGUCCUUCCAUCGUGGGUUUCAAGGUAGGAGUCUAGCACAGCUGUCCUCUGAGAGGCAGCUGACUCAGACGGAUGCAUAGACCUACAGCCAAACAGUGGGGACUCUUACGGAAGAAUAAGAAGGAUGAUGGGCCUUGAAGGAUCUAGGAACUCCACAGGAAGACCAACAGAGUAAAAUAACCUGGACCCUUGCGGCUCUCAGAAGACUGAACCACCAACCAAAGAACUUACCCAGGCUGGACCUGGGCCUCUCUGCACAUAUAUAACAGAUGUGCAGCUUGGUCUUCAUGUAGGUCCAAACAACUGGAGCUGUUGCCUGUGUAUAUGAUAUAUUCUUCUAGCUGACUGUCUUUUCUAGCUUCAGUGGGAGAGGAAGCACCUAGCUUCGCAGAGACUUGGUGUGCAAGGGUGUGGGAGUGACACACAGAGGACACCUACCUGCUCAGAGGAGAAAGGGGUGAGGAUUGUGGGAGGGGGUGACCGGAAGGGAGGCAGUGAGGUGCACAUAAAGUGAAAGUCAAAACAAAACAAAUCAAAAAACAGUUUAAAGAUGUCUGGAUUUUCAAAUACACAAAACUGUGUCACGCGCCUGCCCCUGGUUCUUUCCUUUUUCCGUCACCCGGAGCCACUUUCCAUCUACUCUUACUGCCUCACCAGAUUGACUGCCAGCUCUCCAAGAUUUUGAACCUCCUAUUUCUUUACGUUACCCUUGUCUGGGAAGUGCCUUAUCCUGUAACCUUCAAUGGCAUGGGUGCAAUUUCAAUUUCUGCUUGCACCUCCUUGCUUGUGAGUUACAUGAGUGGUGAGGCACACACAAGCUCAUGUCCCUCCACACCCCACAGUGCCUUGCAGAGAACAAGGACUUGAUAGAUAGUUGUUGAACCAGAAGAAAACAUGGAGGGGUAAUGAGGGGAGGAAUUGGUAAGUGUGGGACUGGGAAGAGAGGAUGGAGGAGGGCUAUGAUCGGGACAUAAAGUGAAUUUUAAGAAAAAGAAGAGAGUAAAGAAAAAAAAAUAAAACCAUCACUGCUUGUUCUAAAAAAAUAUUCAGGCAUAUUGUUUCUUAAUUGAUUGGUACUUUAUUUUCUUGAUAUUAACAAUUAAUCUUUGGCAAGUGUUAGAAGAUCCUCAAGUGAUUAACAAAGAUUGCCCAUUUUCAGGAGAGUUCUGUUGUUUUUCACUUCUUGAAAAAUUAAUUUGAGUGAGAGAGGAGGUUAGAUGAUGUGGGUGGAGUGAAAGGACCAAGAGGCAAGCCACACCCUCUUUCAGAUCCAUGUGUCCACUGAGCUUCUUUGGUUAUCUGAAGAUGGGGAGCAGGUGAAUUGUUCAUGGCUUCCUUUUUUUCUUGUUAUAACUAAAGCUUGAGAAUUCAUCUCUGAAGAGAACAGGGUGUGCCCAAAUGUGAGGUUGUCUUUGAGAAUACUCUGGGGAGAAUAUGUGGAUAAAAUGGACACUAUAAGAUCACCCAUGCCUUGCAUUUAUAUGUUAUGUUUUGUAUUCUUUCCUGCACAUGAUUCGGGGUUGACCCCACACGUCAACUGCUCACGCAUCUUUAUGUUUUGCCUAUAUCUUGUUUUGAAGAAGAAACAACGCAAGUAAGCAAACAAACAAAAAGCCUCGGGGAAGAGUCCAACAGGCUGGAACUUUAGUAGGUCAUUUCAGCCGGCGCUUCACUGAUAACGCCAAGAAGACAAUGCAGCGAUCAAAAGCAGUGAUGAGAUUUUUUAGCAGCAUUAACCAUCAUGACCUAGCAAAAUGAAAGAAAAUGGUUUAACUGAACUGUCAGCUUCAAUCUAGCUAAUAAAGGCAUGGAUAAAUGUUUAUUACAUAGCGGAGACAGAUCAUUUCUGUGCUGAAAUUGAGGAUGACCUUUGCCGAUAACUCUUAUCUGCCUGUUAUCCCAAGAGAGAGGGAGAGGGAGCAGGCAAGAGAAGCAUAUUUGCUGAUAUUUAAAAGGAGAAAUUACCAUUUGCAAAUAAAACACUUUAGUGCUGGUGAAUAUGUCAAGUCACCCUUCUGCCCUCUCUUCUGCCCUGGCACACAGAGAUUUCUCCCGAGUAGGCUAUGACAGUGGCUUUACUCAGUCCUAUAAAUCCGCUAUUUGAAAAGCACAAAAUAAUAGAAACACAUAGAAUGACUAAAUUAUAGCCUCUUUAUUUCUACAACAUUGCAGAGGAAUUACACUUACAUUGUUACCUUUUAAAUAAGAAGGUCUCAUUCUAACUAUGAGUUUCAGGAAAAGCAAUCAUGAAUCCAAGGCUGUUCCUUCACUAUACUUUAAUUAUUGAUACUAUGUAUUUAGACCUUUCCAAUUACAUUGUUUUUUUUAAAGCACUCUCAAACCCUGGUGUAACUUUUUUUUUUUACUCCUCAAGGCCUCAAGGAAACUAUUC
rnacentral:lncRNA from 1 species